rnacentral:rRNA from 1 species
CGGCGUAAAGCGUGGUUAUGUAAACUAAAUAAUAGGGCCGAACGGCCUCAAAGCAGUUAUACGCACUCGAAGUCACGAAGUACAAUUACGAAAGUAGCCCUACCAACCUCUGAUCCCACGAAAGCCAUAAAACAAACUGGGAUUAGAUACCCCACUAUGUAUGGCCGUUAACAUUGAUGACUUUGUACUAAGCCAUCCGCCUGGGGACUACGAGCAGUAGCUUAAAACCCAAAGGACUUGGCGGUGCUUUAGACCCCCCUAGAGGAGCCUGUUCUAGAACUGAUAACCCCCGUUCAACCUCACCAUCCCUUGUUUAACCCGCCUAUAUACCGCCGUCGUCAGCUUACCCUGUGAAGGUAAAAUAGUAAGCAUAAAUGGCAAAGCCAAAAACGUCAGGUCGAGGUGUAGUGAAUGAGAUGGGAAGAAAUGGGCUACAUUCUCUACCACAGAGAACACGAAUAGUGAUUUGAAAAAACCACCUGAAGGAGGAUUUAGUAGUAAGUAAGGAAUAGCGAGCCCUACUGAAAAUGGCCCUAAAGCGCGCACACACCGCCCGUCACUCUCUCCAAAUAAACCCUAAAAUUUACCUAAAACAUUUUAAUUAACCAAGGAGAGGCAAGUCGUAACAUGGUAAGCGUACCGGAA